UUCACAUUAAGCAUCACUAAAAAAGUGUGUGCUUUUGCUUCUGCGCAUUAGGGCAGCUUAAUGCGCAUUUAUUCCUACCUCACAUCAGAGGUACUAAAUUUAAU